AUGAGGCGAACCGGGGGAACUGAAACAUCUAAGUACCCCGAGGAAAAGAAAUCAACCGAGAUUCCCCCAGUAGCGGCGAGCGAACGGGGAGGAGCCCAGAGCCUGAAUCAGCAUGUGUGUUAGUGGAAGCGUCUGGAAAGGCGCGCGAUACAGGGUGACAGCCCCGUACACAAAAGCGCAUGUGCUGUGAGCUCGAUGAGUAGGGCGGGACACGUGGUAUCCUGUCUGAAUAUGGGGGGACCAUCCUCCAAGGCUAAAUACUCCUGACUGACCGAUAGUGAACCAGUACCGUGAGGGAAAGGCGAAAAGAACCCCGGCGAGGGGAGUGAAAAAGAACCUGAAACCGUGUACGUACAAGCAGUGGGAGCCCCACCACUAAGCCAGUGGUGAACUCCACAUACGCAUCCUUUGCUGAAGGCAAUGGUUAACGGAGCGAAAGCGACGUUCAACCGCAAAACAAGCAGAGGGGGCUUAGUGGUGGGGUGACUGCGUACCUUUUGUAUAAUGGGUCAGCGACUUAUAUUCUGUAGCAAGGUUAACCGAAUAGGGGAGCCGGAGGGAAACCGAGUCUUAACCGGGCGUUAAGUUGCAGGGUAUAGACCCGAAACCCGGUGAUCUAGCCAUGGGCAGGUUGAAGGUUGGGUAACACUAACUGGAGGACCGAACCGACUAAUGUUGAAAAAUUAGCGGAUGACCUGUGGCUGGGGGUGAAAGGCCAAUCAAACCGGGAGAUAGCUGGUUCUCCCCGAAAGCUAUUUAGGUAGCGCCUCGUGAAUUCAUCUCCGGGGGUAGAGCACUGUUUCGGCUAGGGGGCCAUCCCGGCUUACCAACCCGAUGCAAACUGCGAAUACCGGAGAAUGUUAUCACGGGAGACACACGGCGGGUGCUAACGUCCGUCGUGAAGAGGGAAACAACCCAGACCGCCAGCUAAGGUCCCAAAGUCAUGGUUAAGUGGGAAACGAUGUGGGAAGGCCCAGACAGCCAGGAUGUUGGCUUAGAAGCAGCCAUCAUUUAAAGAAAGCGUAAUAGCUCACUGGUCGAGUCGGCCUGCGCGGAAGAUGUAACGGGGCUAAACCAUGCACCGAAGCUGCGGCAGCGACACUCAGGUGUUGUUGGGUAGGGGAGCGUUCUGUAAGCCUGUGAAGGUGUGUCGUGAGGCAUGCUGGAGGUAUCAGAAGUGCGAAUGCUGACAUAAGUAACGAUAAAGCGGGUGAAAAGCCCGCUCGCCGGAAGACCAAGGGUUCCUGUCCAACGUUAAUCGGGGCAGGGUGAGUCGACCCCUAAGGCGAGGCCGAAAGGCGUAGUCGAUGGGAAACGGGUUAAUAUUCCCGUACUUGGUGUUACUGCGAAGGGGGGACGGAGAAGGCUAUGUUGGCCGGGCGACGGUUGUCCCGGUUUAAGCGUGUAGGUGUGUGUUCCAGGUAAAUCCGGUUCACUUUAACACUGAGGCGUGACGACGAGGCACUACGGUGCUGAAGCAACAAAUGCCCUGCUUCCAGGAAAAGCCUCUAAGCAUCAGGUAACAUCAAAUCGUACCCCAAACCGACACAGGUGGUCAGGUAGAGAAUACCAAGGCGCUUGAGAGAACUCGGGUGAAGGAACUAGGCAAAAUGGUGCCGUAACUUCGGGAGAAGGCACGCUGACACGUAGGUGAAGUGAUUUACUCAUGGAGCUGAAGUCAGUCGAAGAUACCAGCUGGCUGCAACUGUUUAUUAAAAACACAGCACUGUGCAAACACGAAAGUGGACGUAUACGGUGUGACGCCUGCCCGGUGCCGGAAGGUUAAUUGAUGGGGUCAGCGCAAGCGAAGCUCCUGAUCGAAGCCCCGGUAAACGGCGGCCGUAACUAUAACGGUCCUAAGGUAGCGAAAUUCCUUGUCGGGUAAGUUCCGACCUGCACGAAUGGCGUAAUGAUGGCCAGGCUGUCUCCACCCGAGACUCAGUGAAAUUGAACUCGCUGUGAAGAUGCAGUGUACCCGCGGCAAGACGGAAAGACCCCGUGAACCUUUACUAUAGCUUGACACUGAACAUUGAGCCUUGAUGUGUAGGAUAGGUGGGAGGCUUUGAAGUGUGGACGCCAGUCUGCAUGGAGCCGACCUUGAAAUACCACCCUUUAAUGUUUGAUGUUCUAACGUGGACCCGUAAUCCGGGUUGCGGACAGUGUCUGGUGGGUAGUUUGACUGGGGCGGUCUCCUCCUAAAGAGUAACGGAGGAGCACGAAGGUUGGCUAAUCCUGGUCGGACAUCAGGAGGUUAGUGCAAUGGCAUAAGCCAGCUUGACUGCGAGCGUGACGGCGCGAGCAGGUGCGAAAGCAGGUCAUAGUGAUCCGGUGGUUCUGAAUGGAAGGGCCAUCGCUCAACGGAUAAAAGGUACUCCGGGGAUAACAGGCUGAUACCGCCCAAGAGUUCAUAUCGACGGCGGUGUUUGGCACCUCGAUGUCGGCUCAUCACAUCCUGGGGCUGAAGUAGGUCCCAAGGGUAUGGCUGUUCGCCAUUUAAAGUGGUACGCGAGCUGGGUUUAGAACGUCGUGAGACAGUUCGGUCCCUAUCUGCCGUGGGCGCUGGAGAACUGAGGGGGGCUGCUCCUAGUACGAGAGGACCGGAGUGGACGCAUCACUGGUGUUCGGGUUGUCAUGCCAAUGGCACUGCCCGGUAGCUAAAUGCGGAAGAGAUAAGUGCUGAAAGCAUCUAAGCACGAAACUUGCCCCGAGAUGAGUUCUCCCUGAGACUUAAAGUCUCCUGAAGGAACGUUGAAGACGACGACGUUGAUAGGCCGGGUGUGUAAGCGCAGCGAUGCGUUGAGCUAACCGGUACUAAUGAACCGUGAGGCUUAACCUU
rnacentral:rRNA from 1 species